CAGACCCCCCAACCCCCAGCAAGGAACAGCAGCUUCCACAGUUGCUACAAUGUUUGGAGAGAAACCUUAGAAGACGUUUUCUUCCUCUGGGUGGCUUCUGAUCUCCCAGGAAUGUUUUCAUUGGCAGGAUGUAAUAAGAACCCAGCUGCGAAAGGAUUCUAGAAAAUGUAGUUGGCAGACUCCUGGGCCCAGAAGAAUGAAGCAUGGGAUGGCGGAUGUAGAGCUGAGCUAUGAGCAGGAAACCCUGCCAUGGAGCUGAAGUUGGUGGUCACCAUCAGGAACGGAUGGUAGAGAGUGAGGAAGGAAAUCAGCAUCCUGCCACAGGAUUCUUGUGGAAAGUCACCCAGUGUUUGGAUGGUCUUGUCUGCCCCCAAAGGCACAAAGCAACAGAAGUGCAAGAGUCCUGAAACCCCGAACUACAUCACACCUUGCUCCUUAUAAUUGAUCUCAAGUCUCUUCUCACCAUGAUGGACAAACGCCCUGCUCUACACUUCCGAAAAACCCUAUGAAUGGGACUCCAAAAAGGAAGCUUGCAAGUAGGCUGAACCUGUAAGCUGGUCAUUUGAUUAUUCUGGUGGAAUUAAUCUCUCUUGAAAUUUCAAAUGUAUUAAUUAAAUACAACUCAGUUGUGUUCACGAGUGUUUU